CUGGGUUUUUAUAGUGCUGUCCCAAAGAGAGCAUAAUGCCAGAUUACUGGCUGGUGUUAAGCAGGCUCUGCUCUACGGCCUCCUGGGCACCCCCAGAAGCCGCUGUUUCCAAUGUCCUUGUGCUGGGUGCCAUCAGAUACCGUAUUCUUCCAAGAUUCCUUCCAAGACACAUCGCCAAACUUCAUGGAGAAUCCCCACGCCUUCAGAAUCACAUUGCCCCUGGGAUAACAUGGAUCUGAUAGAGAAUCUCAAUCUUGACCUGUACAGAGCAGUACGUCUUGCGUCCAAAACACAAGAAAAUGUAUUGCCUUCGUCUUGCUUUCUUAAAAGCGACAACCUGUCAGAUGAAAAAUAAAUCUGCUAGCUGGCCCUUCCUGCCCCAAACCUCUUACGGCUCCAGCUCAUGUUUGUUUCUGAACACUCUCUGCCAACAUUUCUUUUUCCUCUCGUACUGAUACUUAAUGCCUUAAGUGCUUGGAAAGAUAAACACUGUCUUUAAGCAGCACAAUCUCUUGAUCAGUUUAUCUGAGGAUUAUUACACGAGUGCACAGAGGAGUGAGUCAUAAAUUGAGCACAUUUUUGCCCCAGCUGGUGAUUUCAUUGGGACCAGUGAGAUCGCAUAUUCCAAAAGAACCAUGAAAAUGGGACACGGAGGAGAUUCAACCAACAAUUUUGUUCAGUUAACAAAACCCACUGUGAUGGGGCAGCAAGCUACGUAAGUGUGACCCACGCUUCCUGGUGCUGGGGGGUGAAGAGAGAAGAUGCUUUCUUAGGAUCAGAUAAAGAUACGCAAGCCUUUGUUUGCAACAGUACUCUUUUUCCCUCUCAGUGCCAUUUUGAUACAUUAAGUUGCCUGAAGAAGUGUUUAUGACUUUUGCCAAAUGCUACUUUCAGAACAGUCAGAAAAGCUGACGCAUCCCAAUGGGAAAAGGAUAUAAGAAUUGAAGUGGAAUUAACUUAAACCAGCACGAGUUCAUCCUCUUAAAUCUGAACCGGAAAAGAAACGAAGGAAGUUUGGUUUUGGUGCAUGUUGGACCAAAAUAUAAGAGUUUGAACAAUGUGCUGGGGAAGAGCUCCAAUAGAAACAUAAGGGCAGAUUAAAAGAAGGGAUGAGACUCGCUGCCCGAGAGCUGCCCCGAAUCAGCUUGCAGAGCACUGUGUGAAAUGAUAGUGAUUAGAACUUAAAGUCUGAAGAGUCCAGUUAGGACAACUGCCAAUUAACUAAUGUUCUGUUAAUGCAGCCGUCCCUGACAUCCUAUUGAUGCUCAGCUUACAACCUUCCAUUCUGCAAGGGUAUUUUUUGGGUGAGUUUUAAAAUCUGGUGAGUGGAGUAAGUCCACAUUCUGCAUUCACCAGCUCACAAACAACCCACCCAGACCAAAGUUCUCCCAGAAUUUAGCUUCACUGGUCAUAUAAAGCACAACAAAACAGCUUUGACUUCCAACCCCCUUUCCAAGCUUAACUGGUCCCAAGGUUGCUCCCUGCUGACACUCCCACACCAGUUUGCAAUUUCUCUCUUUUAUCUGUUUGCAACUGGUAAAAACUGAUCUGCAGCUGUGAUCCAGCAACGUUCCCUUAUGAAGAGUAUUGCUGAACUGAGUACAGCUCUGCAUGUAUAAGGAGGUUGACAAAAUUACUACCCAGUUACGAGUCAUCUUCUCAGAUAUUCACAAAUAUUCUUCCAAAUUCACAUUUUACUACAUUAUUUAUACCAACAGAUGUCGAGGCAAGAACACACUUGAGUUCUUCCUGAAAACUGGCACUAAUUUUAGGUUGGGAAUACAUUUUCCUAAUGAACAACAUGUCAGAGGCAAGGAUGUUUUCAAAGCAACCGAUUCUGGCAUGUUACACUUUGAAAUUAAAGCCAUUUCUUUUCUGCAAGGAUUCCAUAAGACUCGCACAUACUUAGGACAACAAAAGAUCUUUUUGUGUGCGUGUGAAAGUUGACCCAUUGCUGGACCAAGAAACCCAAGCUAACAAACAAAUGUGCAAUGAUGGUAGAUCAUUUGGGGAUUUCUCUACAGUGUAGGUUCUUGGACCAUUCAUAGCAGCAAUUUUUGAAAUUCUUUCCUUUUGAAAGGUUCUUUGUGAGGGAAAUGUUGCUUAGAUUGAAUCAGGGAUAUGGGAGCUGGAAUGGGAACAGAGUCCAUUUUCUCAUUAAACAGAGUAUUUUUCAUGUUAUAAGCAUGACAGAGUACAAAUCACAGCCUGAAGUUCGAUAUUUGAAUCCACAGCUGGAUUUGACCUUCCACUCUUAUUUCAAGGCAUGAGUAAGGACACGUCCACCAUUCACAUUCUGACCCCAUUCAGAAGUCACUGACCAAUUCAGAAAGGACCUGACAGCUCCAGAUUCAGCAGCUUCGCUGUGAACUGGCAUAUGAGAUAGGCUCAGGAAGCCCUGGAAAGACCUGGGAGAGCUGAGAGCGCUCAGACCCAUCCAGGGAGCUCCGGAAUUUUCCAGAAGUGGUGAGCUCUCAGCAGACUUGUCGCAUACCUGCAGCCUUGGUGGGGCCAGACAUUUAACAAUGCCUGGCUGCUGCAGGCAGAAAUUAACUUCCACAAUUUCUUCAUGCAAUGCCUCCUAUCGCGCUGUCAUCUGAUACAAGCUCUGUUUGUUACCCCAGCACUGAGAUUGUUCCUUGCUAUCCUCUUUGGCAGAACAAGAAGCUUUUCCACUUCACCAGGGUUUCUGAUCCAGAUGAUGUUCCAACAGUUACAAAUGGGGUGUUAUAAGAGCAUCACCAAAGAAGAUGCCUUACAAAUAGUGAUCGGGUUCUGUGUUACUUCCCACCCUUUCAGAGCUAAAGAUAACGGUCUUCAUUUCAGCAAUGAAGUACGGAAGAUGUGAUAAAGACCUUUUGUUACAGGCCAUCUGGUCCUACUUUCUGUUCCUUUGGAUUAAGUGGAAAAGAACAAAACAGGCUCAGAGCUGUGAUUCUUUUAUUGUGCUUUCAUAGUUUUAUGUUGGAUUCAAUGAUGUGAAUUAUGACUGAGCUGCACCCGUCAAAGAACACUGCCCAGCACUCUGGAGUGCUCAGAUAACACAACUCUGACUGAAUCCCAGCAGGAGGCCAUUUAAUAAGAAUCUCUUUAAGAAAAAAUAUUUCAACAAACAUGGAAAUAAAGCAAUACUCCGUGGUCCUUUCCAAAAGAAACAGCAUCAGAGAAGUUCCAUGUGGAAAACAUUUUGUGAUCACUGCAGUCCUUUACUCACUACUGAAGGAGAUAGGGCUCCAGACUGUCUGCUCAAAACACAACCAACAAAGGUGCAGCUGUGGUGUGAGAUAUAUAACGAUGGCAAUCACUGAGACUCAUCUGGGGAGCCUGAGUUUCAUUAUUCUGUUCCACAUCCUUGCCACUGACCCCAUCAUGUGGGUAGUUUCAACAUAUUUUGUCUGCUAAAGGGCCACAAGAAGAACUGGGGCUUAAGCUUCAGCUAUUACAUCUGCUUUCCUGCAUUCCUUGAAGGUAACAGAGGAACCUGCUUUGUCUGCACUGGUUUAACAAAAAAUCCCCUCUACUCAUCUAUCCUCAGUCAGUCCAAGCAUAAUUAUCCCUUGACUGGGUCUGAUGGUAAUAUAAGCUGCCCAUCUGACUCAAGAGUUCAGUUUAUUCACAGAAUCAUAAAGACCAUAAAGAGAAGACCACCAAAGUCCUCUAGUCCAACUGUCAACCCAUCACUACCAUGCCCACUAAACCAUGUCCCAUGUUUGCUGGAUCCUAAAAAAGUACGCACGUAUAACGAGAUGUAAAAAUUGUGUCUUUUCAGUGACAUUUCUAUUAUUGUUAUUUCUUCAAGACAUAAAUAAGAAAUCAAAUAAAUGCAAACCAUUCCUCUUAUCCUUUGUUUUGUUUUCUUCAAUGCUAAAUGGAAUUGACACACUGCAGGGUGGUGGGGGGUUGGUUUUGUAGAAUCAGCAUGUUCCAGGGAACUCGUAUCCCAUAGGAAAAUUCAUCUACUUGCAUUGUGUUCUAUUCUUCGCUUUGAAAACGCCUCAAUUUUGAUCAGUUCAGCUUUCCUAUUCUGGAUUAUGUUUCUCUCCGACAGGAAAAAACAUCUGUCAACAUCUGAAUACUCUGCCAGUAAUUGGAAAUUU